rnacentral:rRNA from 1 species
AUUGAACGCUGGCGGCAAGCCUAACACAUGCAAGUCGAACGAGUGGCGGACGGGUGAGUAAUGUCUGGGAAACUGCCUGGUGGAGGGGGAUAACUACUGGAAACGGUAGCUAAUACAGCAUACCAGCGGAUGUGCCCAGAUGGGAUUAGCUAGUAGGUGGGGUAAAGGCUCACCUAGGCGACGAUCCCUAGCUGGGCUGAGAGGAUGACCAUCCACACUGGAACUGAGACACGGUCCAGACGCCUAAGGGAGGUAGCAGUGGGGAAUAUUGCACAAUGGGCGCAAGCCUGAUGCAGCCAUGCCGCGUGUAUGAAGAAGGCCUUCGGGUUGUAAAGUACUUUCAGCGGGGAGGCGUUACCCGCAGAAGAGGCACCGGCUAACUCCGUGCCAGCCGCCGCGGUAAUUC